GCAACGCGCAGAACCUUACCAGCUUUUGACAUCCUGAUCGCGGAUUAGAGAGAUCUUUUCCUUCAGUUCGGCUGGAUCAGUGACAGGUGCUGCAUGGCUGUCGUCAGCUCGUGUCGUGAGAUGUUGGGUUAAGUCCCGCAACGAGCGCAACCCUCAUCCUUAGUUGCCACCAUUUAGUUGGGCACUCUAAGGAAACUGCCGGUGAUAAGCCGGAGGAAGGUGGGGAUGACGUCAAGUCCUCAUGGCCCUUACAAGCUGGGCUACACACGUGCUACAAUGGCGAUGACAGUGGGCAGCUACUUCGCAAGAAGAUGCUAAUCUCUAAAAGUCGUCUCAGUUCGGAUUGGACUCUGCAACUCGAGUCCAUGAAGGCGGAAUCGCUAGUAAUCGCGGAUCAGCAUGCCGCG
rnacentral:rRNA from 1 species